UACGGGGGGAGCAAGCGUUGUUCGGAUUUACUGGGCGUAAAGGGCGCGUAGGCGGUCAGCACAAGUCAGUGGUGAAAUCUCCGGGCUUAACCCGGAAACUGCCGUUGAUACUAUAUAUCUUGAAUGCUGUGGAGGUAAGCAGAAUAUGUCAUGUAGCGGUGAAAUGCUUAGAGAUGACAUAGAAUACCUAUUGCGAAGGCAGCUUACUACGCAGAUAUUGACGCUCAUGCACGAAAGCGUGGGGAUCAAACAGG
rnacentral:rRNA from 1 species